rnacentral:lncRNA from 1 species
AAAAACAUUCAUUCCUAAAGGCAGCCUUCUUGGGGGAGGGGAGAUUGAAGAUUACGAGCAAGUGAAAUUAAGUUUCUGUAAAACAUGCAGUUUAAACAUGGACCAGAAAUGAGCGAAUGUUCAAUGAAAAGACAACCAUCAGAAUCAGCAGCACUCUUUUCUCAUUUCACUGAGGAAUAUGUAGAUGCAUAGGAGACUGUGGAAUCCAAGCGCGAGUCUGAAUAUUGUUGAGUAGGCAUUUUGUUUUGUUUUGUUUUGUUUUUGGUUUGAAGCCGGGAUCGAAGGCAAUAUGACUUUUCUCCUUGGGUUCAAGAUGGUGCUCUCACUUACCUGCACAGUGGAGCCAGAGGCGGACACGGAUUUCACUCAAUACCACCAAAAGAUCAUUAAGAGGAGAACCUAAGACAACCAAGGGACCACUCAUCCAACAAGCUUUAUUGGAGAUGUAUAUAUAAGACACUAUGCAAAGUUUGUGGAGGGUAAGUUUUAUAUUUUGUCAUUUAUUAAAAUGUAUUAACUAAAGUUAGUGCUGAAAACUGUUAAGUAAUUGCUUUCUCUCUCUGAUGCUAAAUGUAAAAUCUGUUACAGUCUCUAUAUAAAUUUUCCAAGGAAUUAAAAAAGGAAAACAUUUGAAGUUACAGAACAUUCCAAAGAGUGGAAGACAGCUUGCUUGGAUUUUCUCUAGAACUUGAAAAAUCUUAUUAUUACAUGUGGGAAAAUACAUGUGGGAAUAGUAUGACAGGGUUUCCCUAUGUUCAUUACUUAGACAAAAUACACGUCUUUGUAUAAAAUAUGUUCCUUUCCUAUUCUCCCAGGUGUUCACACAAUUUCUAUGCUCCCAGUUGAAAAUCUUUCAACUUGUCUCCAUCAUUCUGGAUAAGGGUUCUUAUUUCCUAAUCUAGUUCUUUGGUAUAAUUUUACUAGCAUUCAUUACGUGAAGAGAAGUUAUUACUGCUUUCCUUUCUGUGACAUCAUCUUUCCUCCAAGUUGGCCUCUCCAAGCCAAC